rnacentral:lncRNA from 1 species
UUUUUUUUUUUUUUUUUAAUGUUUUCUCUUUUUAUACAUCUAAUAGAAAUUUUUUUUUUUUUUUUUAAUUCAUGAGAGACACAGAGAGAGAGAGGCAGAGACACAGGCAGAGGGAGAAGCAGGCUCCAUGCAGGGACCCCGAUUGUGGGACUCCAUCCCAGGUCUCCAGGAUCACGCCCUGGGCCGAAGGUGGUGCUAAACCGCUGAGCCACCCAGGGAUCCCCAGCUUUCAGGAUUAAAGAGAACUUUGUUUUUAUGUUAAAUAAAAUGAUUUACAUUAUGGAAAAAAAUGUUUAUAUGUAGCACACAGCAUGUAUUUAAUAACUGUUUCUUUCUACUUUUUAUCCUUUCAUAAUUGUUAUAUUAACACACCACAUAUACAUCAUAUAUUAGUUCUAUUUUAGAAGUUCUAUUUUAGACUUUAAAUCUCCAAGGAAAUAUUUUGUGAAAUAUAUAAUGGUGCAUGACUUUAUAUGAGAGAAUUUGGAAUAUUUAACGAAAACCUGUUGUAAAUCUCUCGACGUUAAGAGGCAAGUCAGGCAUGUAGUAGGCAUGUAAGAAAAAAAUUCUCAAAAUGCUCUCAUCUUAAAGGUUAGAUGUUGAGUAUUAAAAGGUGUUUCUAUGCUGGCCAAAAAGGAAAAGGAAAAAAAAAAAAAGAGCUCAGUGUAAUACUUUCAAUAUGGUGCUAAUAGUUCCAGUUCUUACAUAGAAGUGAAUUUUAAAUUAGAGGGGGAAGAAAAGUGUUAAUCUUAUUUUUUAAGAGACUAGGUCACUUAUAUAUUCAGUACAUACUGAUUCUUACAAACUCUUUAAAUGAGAAGGAGAGUGAAAAAUGUCAAGUUGUAUUCCACUGAUAGGGAAUUAAAUCCACACAUCACCCACUGCAGGCUGUGUUGCUGAAAACACAGCCUUCAUGUAGAUCUGUCAAUUUUCCCAAAAUUUCUACCUAAAGUUGGGUUUCAUUUUAAUACUAUCAAAAAUUGAAAAAACAUUUGUUCUAUUUGGCACUUAUCAAUGGCGAUCUUUUGAAGUAUCAGGGAUUUUUUCUAUUGUUUUUAAGUUUCUUUUUCUUUUAUUUUCAUAUCUUAAAUGGUGAAAAAUAGCUCCCCCCCCCAAAUACUUCAGUGAGGACAGAAUUGCAUCUUAAAUUUCAUCCUAGUCAGAUUGAAAGCAGAUGUGACCAUCCUAGAACUAUGAGAAUCUACAUUUAAAUUUAAUGUUUUCUAUUACUUCAACAGAGUAUAAACCACUUUAUACGCUCAUUCUAGCUAAGCAAAAGUAGUUGCAUAGAAAUGUUUAAGGUACUGAUCCACUAAUUGAAAUAUUUUGAACAAGCAAAAGUAUGGGGUGAUUCUAGUGAAAGCCUGGGUUUUAUUAUGAAUAUGUUAUGAGCUAUGAUCUAGUAAAUUACAUAAAUUAUAAUAAAUAUAUUUAUUGCCUCUUAUGAGCAAAGAGAGUGGCAUUUAAAACUUCACGCAUAAGCCUAAGUGAAAAGAAAAAGAACCAGAGAUGGUAUGGACAGGAACUAAAACCUUGGGCAAACACUAAUUUAUGCUGAUAAAGCCUAUUGUCUAAUAAAGGCACUGUCAUUUAUUCUAUAAGGGCUGAAAAUGACACUUUCAAUUGAACAGCAGAGGGCAAAAGCCUUGCAGAGUUCUUUUCAAAACAGGUAGGUAUUUCUUGGGAACGGGUUCCAUAGAAUGUAAAAUACAAUGCCAAACACAGUGAAGAACUUCUGAAAGUUGACAGCAGUUUUCUGCAAGCCCAGCCCAGCUUCCCUGAGUGCCUUGUUAUUUAGCCAAAAUUCAAAAUAUUUGUGGUUGCAAUAGUAAAUUAUCUUAACUAAAUGAUGGCAAAACCUAAUGAGAGGAUGGAGAAAACUCAAUGAGUUUUCAGGCCAGCAUGUUAGGCAAAUCACUGACAUUCUAAAAUUUGCUUUGGUUAUCAAGGUGGUUCCUCAUACCAU